GAUGAACGCUGGCGGCGUGCUUAACACAUGCAAGUCGAGCGGUAACGGGUCCUUCGGGAUGCCGACGAGUGGCGGACGGCUGAGUAACGCGUGGGAACGUGCCCCAAAGUGAGGGAUAACUACUCGAAAGAGUAGCUAAUACCGCAUAUGAUCUUAGGAUUAAAGUAUUUAUACGCUUUGGGAGUGGCCUGCGUCGGAUUAGAUAGUUGGUGAGGUAAUGGCUCACCAAGUCGACGAUCCGUAGCUGGUCUGAGAGGAUGACCAGUCAGACUGGAACUGAGACACGGUCCAGACUCCUACGGGAGGCAGCAGUGAGGAAUCUUCCACAAUGGGCGAAAGCCUGAUGGAGCAACGCCGCGUGCAGGAUGAAGGCCUUCGGGUUGUAAACUGCUUUUAUUAGUGAGGAAUAUGACGGUAACUAAUGAAUAAGGAUCGGCUAACUACAUGCCAGCCGCCGCCGUAA
rnacentral:rRNA from 1 species